AACUUUCAAAACGACUCCUUUUUGGAUAACCACAGCAGUCACUUAGCUAGCUAGGUAGCUGUUUAACUUUCUUACACAUUCACACAUUUGUUUUGUAAACAAGCUAGUAAGCUAACACAUGUUCUUCUCAAACUGUUAAGAGUAAUGUUAUAUAGCAAGCAAUAAGAUAUGCCAAAUAAGUCUAAAAACCACUUGAGGGCAAUUCAGAUUUGACCAUUCUGACAAGUCGCAUGGCCAGGAAUCAGAUUUGUAUCUGACUUCAAACCACCUACGAAGGUGGUUUGAAAUGUGGCGCGAAAUAUCUGAUACUUUGCUUUUUUGCUGUUCAGACUGCAGGAAAAAGAACAGAAUCGGAUAUGCAAAGAAAUUGGAUUUGAGUUACUUCAAACUGCCAAUGUGAACAAGGCUUAUGGCUGGUUCUCGAGCUGGAUAGUCAUAAGCUUUGAUUUAGAGAAAAUGUCGCCACAGAUGGGAACCACUGGCCUGUCUUUGACUUCGCCAUCUAUUAUUAUCUCAAGUUUUGGCAUCUUCCAUAAAUUGUAGGGAUGCACGAUAUAUCGGUAAGCAUAUCGGAAUCGGCCGAUAUUAGCUAAAAAUGUCGGCAUCGGCCCGAUGUCUAGUUUAACGCUGAUGUACAAAACCGAUGUCAAGGCUGACGUGCAUACCUAUAUAACGUAGGUAGAUAACGUAAUGACGCCACGGAAAAUACAGCACUACAUGUACAAUACAGCAUUCCUAACCUAGCCCACAAUGUCUGCUGUGUGGAACUAUUUUGAAGUUUCGAAGGAAGAUAACAAAAAGGCCAUAUGCAACGUUUGUGCUGCUAUUAUUUCCAGAGGGGAGAAAGUGAAAUCUUUCAAUACCACAAACCUAAUUACUCAUUUGAAAGUGCAUCACCCCCAGACGUUCAGCGACUACAUAGAACAAAAGCAGAAAAAAACUAAACAAGUUCAAGUCGAGCAGUCAUUUGAAAGAGUAAGAGAAUUUCAGUGAGACAACUCAAAGGCGUAAUCCAUUAACGCCAAGAUAAUGGAAUUCAUUGCCCUUGACAAUCAACCGUUCUCUGUUGUGGAUGAUGUUGGCUUUUGCUGACUGGUCGAGCACCUCGAGCCCCGGUACACACUAGCAAGUAGGCGCAAUUUUUCAGAUGUUGCCCUACCGUAGUUACACAGUAUUGUUGAAACGCACAUCCAUGAGCUACUUGCUAUUGGCCUCACUGCUAUUAGCUUUACGACUGACAUUUGGACCAGCAAUGUCAGCCCCAUGAGCAGGGUCCGAAAUGAACACCCGCCAAGCACCAAAUGCGGAUAGAUUUUCCAUUUGGCGAGAAUCUCAGAAGGCUAUCCGCCACACUGGCGGGUAAAUGUUUGUACCAAAAUUGUCAUGUAAUAAGAUAUCUGGCAUGAUUGCUCGGAGGAAAUUACUUAUGUUUGCCAGCUUACCACAGACCAUCUCUAGUGCUCCUAGUUUCACGGCACUGUUUACCGUACGGGACAUCGGCUUCUCGACAUCGUUCACUUGCCACAGGUCUGCUGCUAGCUACCGUUCAUUAAAUAGCUGUUAUGUGGCGACAUUUACUUGGAGUAAGCCAACCUUUGAAACGAAAACCCACCGAUGAAAAGGAGGACGAAUCGCAUAAAGAAAGUUUUAUGAGAAAUGGAGGUUUGGAGAUAAAGGAGUUUCAAGAGGCUGGCUACAGUAUGAUGCGGAGGCUGUGGUGAUGAGUUGUUCUGUGUGUCGCUAGUAUGCUAAAGAUAAAAGCAGAAACAACUAAUUUGUCAUCAGAAAUAAAAUUAUGAAGCUGGAGAACAUUUGUGACCAUGCACACAGCAAGUGUCACAUUGCCUGCGUGUCUAUGUCCCGGCCUCAAUCGCAGCCUCUCCUCUUGACACCCUCUGUGAUGGCGCUAAUGGCAAUGUCAGAGCAGACCAGCACGAAGAUGAAGAUACUGUUUAGGACUGUACAUGCCAUUGGCAAGAAGGCGAGACCACUUUCUGACUUCGAGUGGAUGUGUGAGUAAGUGAACAUGUUGUUACUCUUGUAGCUUGACUAGUACUUUUUGUAGCGAGUUUAAGUCUAUUUAGCAGACGUGGUCCAGUAUUGUAGGUAAUUUCUCACCCGUUGAUAAGCUUUGGUUCACCUCAAAAUAGUGUAUAAAUACCAUAAAAUUAUAGGCCUACUGAUGCUGACAUGGAUCUCCAUGCUUUCCUAUGACAUUCUAUUUUGUUUGUCUCCAGAGACUGUUUACAUUUUAAAGCAUUGUGGCACAAUUGACUUUACUAGCCUUAUCGUGUUGAUUCUUAAGUAAACAAAGGGUAGAAGGCUAAUUUAGCACAAUCAACUGCCAGCUGUAUUGGAUAACAUGAUUGUAUAUUUAAUUAUUAUUGAAUUAAUUUGAUGUUUAAUUUUUUCAGUUUGGAUGAGAGAAAAAAAGGAAUCACUGUGGGCUCAACAUAUAGAAAUGAGAAGCAGGCCAAAGAGUUUACACCUGUUGCGUGCACUGGACCACUUCCUGCGAGGUUACCAGGGGCUUGUCCAGCACCUGGAACAGAGGUGUCCAGCAGGCCAAGGCCAGGAAAUACUACAGUACUGCGAGGGAGGCUGUUGUUAUCCGCUUCUGUGGCUUCUUGCAUGACACUCUAACACACCUGAGCAACCUGUCUGCCUGUCUGCAGAGGUCCACCAUAGCAGAAGCCCACAGCUCCUUGUGCUCAACACAGGCAGUACUUAAGAAGUACAAAACCAGAUUUUGGUGACACUGAACUGGAAACCCUGGUGGACCACUUCAAGCCUGUCCUGGAGACCUCUGGCAUCCAUGUUGAAAGGAUCCCUGACCAGUGGACUGUCCUGAAGGUGCUGAUGUACCAAGAGUCCAGGUCUGCAGAAGAUGUCCUGGUUCCGUGUCAACAGGAGCCAUCAGCAUUCCUGUCCUGAUUUUCUGGCAUUGGUUGACCUGGUCCUGUCCUUCCCUGCCUCCACAGCUGAAUGUGAAAGAGGUUUUAAUACCAUGAAACAGGUGAAAACCGAUUGGCAGUCCAACCUAAAGUCUGACUCACUGUCAGAUCUCCUUAUGGUCCAGCUGUCCUCUCCAGAGAUCAGGGAGUAUGAUCCGUUAAAAGUUGUGAUGCUGUGACACCAGGACUUUGUCAGGAGCAGGAGGGCAGACUUCAUGGACCAUGCACGGUAGAGGGUAAGGGGUGAGGAGUCUGAGGUUUAAGUUGAUUAAAAUGAUUAAGCAUCUGAUAGGUUUACAAAACCUUCAAAUUUAGUUUUAUGUUUGAUCCUUAAGUACAUUUAAUAGCAAAUACUUCAGUAGAAUUUUGAGUUCAAAACUUCUUCAGUUGUAUUCAGGCUGGGAAAUUAAAUCUAGCCACAGCCAAAAUUAGCCAGCAUCUGAUAAGCCUCUUUUUUACCUGUAUUUAAUCAGGGUAUUUCUACUCAAAGUAAAGGAUUUGUAGACCUGCUUCCCCUGUUUCCCCUUUGUAUCAGGAGAGCACCAGUUCACUGCACUUCUCAUAAUUGUAUUUUACCAUUGCUGUUGCCCUGUUUACACAUCUAUGUACUCUUAUUCAUUGUAUCUGAUAUGUUUUGUUUAUUUCAUUGUGUGCCCAAUGUUUAGCGUUUUUGCACUCUGUACAGCACUUUUGGUCAACUACAGUUGUUUUUAAAUGUGCUCUACAAAUGAACUUGAUUUGAUUAACCGUUGAUCAAUAUAUUACAAUUGUUUCAAAUUUUGCUCUGGCUUCUUAAAGUUUGUAUUCAACAUGUACUGAAAUGAAUGUAUUUGUGACAAUUUAUUAUUUUGCCUGGUAAAAAAUAUGCUUGGCUGGUGGAUUUUUUUCAUCUACCAGUCCCCUUGGCAGUUCAGACAAAAAGUACAUUUUGGACACUGCUCAUGAGCAUGCUGAGUCUGACAGCACAGUGGGUCGACGAGGAUUUUGUACAACAAAACUGCCGACACAGACCGCGGGGUUAAAACUUGCAAAAGUACUCUACUAGAGGCUGUGAACAAGUGAUUCAGUGGUAUUCUCUCUGAGCCUCGAUACUGUCGCCACUAUGCUUGAUGCUAGGUACAAGGACUGCUACUUCAACGCAGACAAGAAACAGGGUUUAUGUGAAAUGUUAGACAACGCUAGACAAGAUGGAAAUGGACACAGUGACAGUGCGCACAAAGGAAGAGGACCCACGACUUGUAUUGGACACGGUGCAAUCUUGUGGUAGGCUGCUAGCAGUCUUCAGCUGUGGUUACAGCAAAGCCAAGUCAGCCCAUGCUCAUGAUUCUCACAAGGGAAGUGAAAUGAUAGGCUAAAAUUACUUUGAUCAGGACAUGUACAGUUGAAGUCGGAAGUUUACAUACACUUAAAAAUAACAAAAGUCAUUUUUCCAACAAUUGCUUAGACAGAUUAUUUCACUUAUAA